rnacentral:rRNA from 1 species
CUCAGUUAGUCCAAACAUUCUUAAGUCCAUUGGCAUAUGGCGCCAUGGAGGGUGAUAGCCCCGUAAAGAUGUCGUUUGUUCUAUUUUCUCUGGCCACCAAAGAGUCGAGUUGUUUGGGAAUGCAGCUCUAAGUGGGUGGUAAAUUCCAUCUAAAGCUAAAUAUUGGCGAGAGACCGAUAGCGAACAAGUACAGUGAUGGAAAGAUGAAAAGCACUUUGAAAAGAGAGUGAAAAAGUACGUGAAAUUGUUGAAAGGGAAGGGCUUGCAAGCAGACACAACCUCGUGUUGGGCCAGCAUCGGGGCGAGAGGAAGUAAAAACGAUUUGGAAAUGUAACUUUCUAUUAUUAUAGACCUUAUCCCUCCCUUCCAUCUCAUCCCGAGGCCUGCGGUUUAUCCUAGGAUGCUGGCGUAAUGGUUGCAAGUCGCCCGUCUUGAAACACGGACCA